rnacentral:rRNA from 1 species
UACGUAGGGGGCAAGCGUUGUCCGGAAUCAUUGGGCGUAAAGAGCGUGUAGGCGGCCAGAAAAGUCCGCUGUGAAAACUCGAGGCUCAACUUCGAGCUGUCGGUGGAAACUUUCUGGCUAGAGUCCGGAAGAGGAGAAUGGAAUUCCCGGUGUAGCGGUGAAAUGCGCAGAUAUCGGGAAGAACACCCGUGGCGAAGGCGGUUCUCUGGGACGGUACUGACGCUGAGACGCGAAAGCGUGGGGAGCGAACAGG